rnacentral:rRNA from 1 species
GGGGAAUUUUCCGCAAUGGGCGAAAGCCUGACGGAGCAAGACCGCGUGGGGGAAGAAGGCUCUUGGGUUGUAAACUCCUUUUCUCUGGGAAGAACAAAAUGACGGUACCAGAGGAAUCAGCAUCGGCUAACUCCGUGCCAGCAGCCGCGGUAAGACGGAGGAUGCAAGCGUUAUCCGGAAUGAUUGGGCGUAAAGCGUCCGCAGGUGGCAGUUCAAGUCUGCUGUCAAGGACCGGGGCUCAACCUCGGAAAGGCAGUGGAAACUGAACAGCUAGAGUAUGGUAGGGGCAAAGGGAAUUCCUGGUGUAGCGGUGAAAUGCGUAGAGAUCAGGAAGAACAUCGGUGGCGAAGGCGCUUUGCUGGACCAUAACUGACACUCAGGGACGAAAGCUAGGGGAGCGAAUGGGAUUAGAUACCCCAGUAGUCCUAGCCGUAAACGAUGGAUACUAGGUGUUGUCUGUAUCGACCCGGACAGUGCCGUAGCUAACGCGUUAAGUAUCC